UCCCAGUCCGGCUCCCAACCCCCGGCGCGGCAAACCUCGCGAGUCACGUCCAGUCAACAGCCUUCCCUGAGCCGAAGCCGGUCACUCAAUGUUGUCUCUCCUGCUAAUCCUCACAGGGCUGGGCCAGCUGGCCUCCGCGGGCCAUCACUCUGAAACAUCACUUCUACACAUUACAGUGCCACAGAAGACUGGGACAGAUAAUGACAGUGGAAUUUCAAAAACGCAUAAUUGUGGCUAUGCAAUAUUGUCAAAAGCCAUAACGUGGAAAAAAAAUAAUACCAAGAAACUCACCAUUAACUGACCUGAUUCAAGAAGGAAAAAAAUCUGCUUUUCUCCCCUUUUGUGAUGGCUUAAAACUUCAGUCUCACAAAGCAAAAAUAAAUCCUGUGAGUGCAAGUAUG